UACGUAGGUGGAUAAUUAAGUCAGAGGUGAAAUCCUGCAGCUCAACUGUAGAAUUGCCUUUGAUACUGGUUAUCUUGAGUCAUUAUGAAGUGGUUAGAAUGUGUAGUGUAGCGGUGAAAUGCAUAGAUACUACACAGAAUACCGAUUGCGAAGGCAGAUCACUAAUAAUGUACUGACACUGAGGGACGAAAGCGUGGGGAGCAAACAGGAUUAGAUACCCUGGUAGUCC
rnacentral:rRNA from 1 species